UGAUUCUAGCCCUGGGGAUGGUGGCGCAGCUCACACAAUCGCAAUCGCGUUAUCAGCCUUUCCAGAUCGAAAGGACCACACAACCUCUGCCUCCCACCUUCCUGUGUGUCCUCCUGUCCUCUGAGGCCACCAGGAAACUCUAUGGUCCACACUAACCAACAGAAUGAGGACUCCACUCUCCGAAUCAAGGAAAUUGUUCCAGGACGUGAGUCAUCGUAGAGGAUUUUGUUCAUUUGGGGUGUGGCAACAGAUCCAUUACCUCACAGUAUGUGGUCUAAGGGACACUGGACAUUUCCAGACCACAAACACCGGACAGAAGAAAAGAUACCAGCUAUGCCAGGAUGUGACCAGCACCCAGCUUUCUCACAUUCCCCCCUAAGACAACGCCCACAAAUAAGCAGCAAGCUGUGUUGAAAAUCUGCCAUCCUAAUUCCUUUAACCUGUUGUGUUUAACAUCCUGCCUUUUUAUUAUAAAAAAAGAGAUGGGAAUAUAAUGGUCUGUCCUGUUCCUUUA